AGAGUUUGAUCCUGGCUCAGGACGAACGCUGGCGGCGUGCCUAACACAUGCAAGUCGUGCGAUUGAGAGGUGAGCAUCUCACUUCUCAAGAGCGGCGGACGGGUGAGUAAUGCGUGAACAAUCUACCGGCAAGACUGGGACAACACCGGGAAACUGGUGCUAAUACCGGAUAAUCUCCACCGGCGGCAUCGUUGGUGGAGGAAAGUCGGCCUCUGGAUAUGCUGGCGCUUGUCGAUGAGUUCACGUCCCAUUACUUGUUGGUGGGGUAACGCCCACCAAGGCGACGAUGGGUACCGCCUGAGAGGGUGGUCGCCACACUGGGACUGAGACACGCCCAGACUCCUACGGGAGGCAGCAGUGGGGAAUCUUCCGCAAUGGGCGCAACCUGACGGAGCGACCCGCGUGAGGGGCGAAGCCUUCGGGUUGUAAACCUCUUUUCUGGGGGAAGAACGUCCGCCUCUUAAUAGCGGCUUGGGUUGACGGUACCUCAGGAAUAAGCCCCGGCUAACUACGUGCCAGCAGCCGCGGUAAUACGUAGGGGGCGAGCGUUGUCCGGAGUCACUGGGCGUAAAGGGCGCGUAGGCGGCUUGAGAAGUCGCAGGUGAAAUCCCGCGGCUCAACCGUGGAACUGCCUGCGAAACCAUUGGGCUUGAGGACAGGAGAGGGAAGCGGAAUUCCUGGUGUAGCGGUGAAAUGCGUAGAUAUCAGGAGGAACACCAGUGGCGAAGGCGGCUUUCUGGCCUGGUCCUGACGCUGAGGCGCGAAAGCAGGGGAGCAAACAGGAUUAGAUACCCUGGUAGUCCUACUGUAAACGAUGGGCACUAGGUGUUGGGGGGUUCAUUCCUUCAGUGCCGUAGGGGCCAAUAAGUGCCCCGCCUGGGGAGUACGGUCGCAAGACUGAAACUCAAAGGAAUUGACGGGGCCCUUCCCCGGUGGAGCGGGAAAUUUAAUUCGAUGCAACCUAAUUUUUCUUCCAGGGGAGGAACAUUCUGUACGGAGUGGAAACA
rnacentral:rRNA from 1 species